UGACUGCUAAUACCGGAUGACGACGUAAGUCCAAAGAUUUAUCGCCGAGGGAUGAGCCCGCGUAGGAUUAGCUAGUUGGUGUGGUAAAGGCGCACCAAGGCGACGAUCCUUAGCUGGUCUGAGAGGAUGAUCAGCCACACUGGGACUGAGACACGGCCCAGACUCCUACGGGAGGCAGCAGUGGGGAAUAUUGGACAAUGGGCGAAAGCCUGAUCCAGCAAUGCCGCGUGAGUGAUGAAGGCCUUAGGGUUGUAAAGCUCUUUUACCCGGGAUGAUAAUGACAGUACCGGGAGAAUAAGCUCCGGCUAACUCCGUGCCAGCAGCCGCGGUAAUACGGAGGGAGCUAGCGUUGUUCGGAAUUACUGGGCGUAAAGCGCACGUAGGCGGCUUUGUAAGUUAGAGGUGAAAGCCUGGAGCUC
rnacentral:rRNA from 1 species